AAUUUUAGAUUCUCCAGAAACGAAACAGCGGUAUCUCACAAAACCCCAAAUUCUCAUUCUGCACAACUCUAACCCUCCUCCCCACUUCAAAGACGAAGGCGAGAAAGCUAAAUUCGGCUAAAUAACAGAGCAAUGGAAACCGGUAGCGUCAGUAAAGUGAUACCGGAAUCAGUAAUGGAGGCGGUGAGUAGAACUCGUAUCAACAUCGAUGAAGUGCAGGCCAAUUUGGACCAGCUGUUAUCUUGCUAUGACAAAGAAACCCUUGCAACCAUGGAGCCUCUCGAGAGGGCCCGAAUCCACUUAUUGAUUGCCAAAACAACAACUACUCUCUUUGCUUUGAAACUAAGAUGCAGAGGUGUUAAUCCAGAUGAUCAUCCUGUGAAAAAAGAGUUUGAAAGAUUGAGCUUGUACGAAGAGAAACUACAGAGAUGCGUAGACUUGAGCAAAGCUCCCCUGAGACCCUCAACAACCGUCAACACCCCUGCAGCAGCCCGGUUUAUUGAGCAUUCUCUGCCUGAUCUUUCCUCUGAACAGAAGCAAAGCAUGCGGGAAAUUAGUCGUGGGGAGGGUCGGGGAUUCAAGUAUGUGGACAACAAUCUCCACAAGAAGAGAAAAUACCAGUCAUCCGAGAAGCUAUCUGUUCGUUCUGCUGCUCAGGAGUUUCUUGAGAAAGCAGCACGUGAGCUACUUGGUGAUAAUAAAAAUGGUGUUAAAGGACCUUUACAACCUGCAGAUUCAGAUGAGGAUAUCCUAGUUCUGGACUGAUCCUAUGGUUCCAUUGAUCAUGAGGACCAGCUUCCCAUUGCAUUGAAAUUAUAGGAAGGCGAGACAUAUUUUGUUGAUCGCAGAUGGCGAUGGUCUCCAGCAAAUAACUACUGCCUCUAUUUUCUGGUGGUAUAUUAAAUAUCCGUCGUACUAGCCAGGUGUCUGAUGAGGUUAAAUGAACAAGCCUACUGUGUUUAGCCGUUUAAGCCAAGUUCAACCUCCAUUCUUUCGUUAGAACAUGUAACUUUUCAGAAUGAAUCAACUUCUGGUUAAAGCUAUGUAACUUUUUAGCUGGGAAAUUCUGCAAGACUACAUUUCAAGAAAUGAGGAGUGGAGAAAAAACGCGGACACGCACAAGAUGAGCCCGGAGGAAGUGAGGAGAUCAGGUGUGGAGGCCUCAAAGCAGCCGCCGGGACACCACCCCGGCGAGGUCCUCCACCAGCGCCGG